UACGGGGGGGGCAAGCGUUGUUCGGAAUUACUGGGCGUAAAGGGCUCGUAGGCGGCCAACUAAGUCGGACGUGAAAUCCCCAGGCUCAACCUGGGAACUGCGUCCGAUACUGGAUGGCUUGAAUCCGAGAGAGGGAUGCAGAAUUCCAGGUGUAGCGGUGAAAUGCGUAGAUAUCUGGAGGAAUACCGGUGGCGAAGGCGGCAUCCUGGACCGGCAUUGACGCUGAGGAGCGAAAGCCAGGGGAGCAAACGGG
rnacentral:rRNA from 1 species